GGAUACCUACGGGACGCAGCAGUAGGGAAUCUUCCACAAUGGGCGAAAGCCUGAUGGAGCAACGCCGCGUGGGUGAAGAAGGUCUUCGGAUCGUAAAACCCUGUUGUUAGAGAAGAAAGUGUGUGAGAGUAACUGUUCACGUUUCGACGGUAUCUAACCAGAAAGCCACGGCUAACUACGUGCCAGCAGCCGCGGUAAUACGUAGGUGGCAAGCGUUAUCCGGAUUUAUUGGGCGUAAAGGGAACGCAGGCGGUCUUUUAAGUCUGAUGUGAAAGCCUUCGGCUUAACCGGAGUAGUGCAUUUGG
rnacentral:rRNA from 1 species